UCCCUGUUGGCUCAGACAGUAAAGAAUCUGCCUGCAAUGCAGGAGACCCAGGUUCAAUCCCUGGGUCAGGAA
rnacentral:tRNA from 1 species